UACGGAGGGGACUAGCGUUAUUCGGAAUUACUGGGCGUAAAGCGCACGUAGGCGGCUUUGUAAGUAAGAGGUGAAAGCCCAGAGCUCAACUCUGGAAUUGCCUUUUAGACUGCAUCGCUUGAAUCAUGGAGAGGUCAGUGGAAUUCCGAGUGUAGAGGUGAAAUUCGUAGAUAUUCGGAAGAACACCAGUGGCGAAGGCGGCUGACUGGACAUGUAUUGACGCUGAGGUGCGAAAGCGUGGGGAGCAAACAGG
rnacentral:rRNA from 1 species